rnacentral:misc_RNA from 1 species
UCUGUGCACCCGAAAUUUAGUUCACUAUUGUGUAUAUUAGUGAUUUUUCGCUCCUGCUGUUUUUCAGUACGCCAUUCAAAAAUAAGAAAAAUUUUAUAAAUUCAGACUACCCAAGCAAUUUUUUCUGGUGUUAAUUUAUGCAAUUAAUAUAUGCACUAUACAACCAUUAUUGGCACUUGUAACAAACAAAUCAACAUAAACAUAGAGGAAAUGUGAAGAGAUCUACAAUUGGAAAAGUGCAACACUCUGAGAUCUCCAAAUGUGUUUUCGAUUAACUUCAACAUGGAAACCAGUUGUCCUGCUUAUGAAGCGCCUGGAGUAAAUCAAAUAAUGGCUAUACGCGAUGACUUGUUUGAUAUUCGAACAACUAUAGUGGGUAAGCUAAAAGGAGUCGUCGCUAAUGAGUACUAAUAAAACUAAACAUCACAACUUAUUAUACUGGUACUUGUAAUAUGGAGAAUUGUAAAAACAACAAUCAACCAACAACAACGUUGCAGCAGCAACAUACACAUCAACAUGGAGCUUCUGUUUCUGCUGUAAAAAUGAAUAGUAAUAGUAAUUGCGCGACGCCAGUUCACUCCGAGCAGCCACGUGGAUCCUUUUUUGAAUAUACACCGCCUAUAGGCGAUGCGUCAACGGAUAAUGAUGAUAUUAGUAGCAAUAAAAGCACGCCCUAUUAUACGCCUUUGGAAUUUAUCCAUGGUACCUUUGAGUUUCCGUCGCCCACAAAAUUGGAACACAUGGAAGACAUAGUUGAGUUGCAUUGUUCGUCGCCACCUGCGUCCGAACAAACGGAAAUUGUUUUACAAAGAAAAACACCCACGCCAACUCAUGUCGCUGCGUCACGUUCUUUAGCAGGAGCCAGGCAACAGUUAUCCAGCAGUACAUCGCCGGUUGUGUCGCGAAAAUUAAGACGAUUCUCCCUAUAUGAAAGAAGAUCGUGUUCACCGCAGCAGCUUUUAAUAAAAAAUGCGGUAUCCGCUUCAAUGGAUAGCAGCACGGAAUGUGUGGCCGCAAUGGCGGACAAAGAGAAUGCUAAACCUUUAUAUAGAUCAGGAAUGGCUAUGACGGAAAGGAGAGAUCCGCAUCUACGUUCAAAUAGUGGCAAUAGUUCUCCAAUAGCGCUUCUGGAAGCGGAUGCUGUUUCACCAAAGAUACUCGAUAUUAAUACGGCUGGCGGUAGCAGCAGUAGCACUCGGCUGCCCUGUUCCCCCAAAUUAUUGGCUUCGUUAAAUAAUUUGAAUUUAACUGGUUCUCCACUUGGCGUGAUUAGUUCGGCGGGAUAUAAAAAUGGCAACUACUUUAAAUUUCCAGAGAUUGAUCAAGUGGUACAUGAUCAAUCCGGUCCUGAUCCACCAACUGAGGAUGCCUCCCCUUGUGUGUGUGACAAUCAACAAACGCGAAACAGCAGACAACGGAACAAUGGGUCCAGCAAAGAACGCCAAAAGUCAGUUUCCUCUAAUAGCAAUUCAAAUACAUGUUUGAAUAGAAAUUGCCAGGAAUCACGGAACGAUCCAACGACAACAUCAACGUCCACCAAACCAAGUACAAUACAUUCAACUGCAGCUGACGGUAAAAAAAAUCGGAAAAAUAAAAAUAAUUUGACUAUAAAAAUUACGGAUGUGCCCUGUACUAUAAUGGGACCAAGCGCGAUCGUACCGACCUCUCCUUCUCCUUCAUCAAAACCGAAAACACCAACAAUCAAAAGCACCAAAGAGAAAGCACUGUCACUUGACUCAGCAGCAAAGGAAUCAGAACUAACAAUUAUAGUUUCGUCUGGCGGGCGAAACAAUUCCCACGCCAGUUGUGAUGAAAUCGACGCUCAAACGCUUCGCCGUGGCUAUCUUCCGCUGCAACAAUUUAUGCCGCGUAGCGUUAGUGGUGCACGUUUCGAGCGGGUAAGUGGUGAUCGCUCUUUGCGAAUUCCUUCGGCGGCCGCAAGUAAUCGUUCCACCUCCCUUUCGCAACUGGCACUGCUAGGCGAUGGUAUGCUUACUACACAUGCCCAUCUUCAAACUCAAUCCUUAUGUCCGAGUAGUACUACAUCUUCAUUAAAAACACCACUGAGUGGUAGUAGUUUUCCUCGGACACCGCGUCGCCGUUUACCCGGCGGUAGUAGCGCGAGCAGCAAUGCGUCUACCGAAUGGUUGGCCGUCUAUCAUCGCAACCGAAACUCUGCAGACGCCUAUGCUACUAUUGGAGGAGAAUCUGAGUUGUCAGAACACCCGCAAGUCGAUGCCGACACCGUGGUCGUUCUGCCGGAAGGUACCGACAAUGGAGGAAGGACAGGUAGUAACAACACUCUGUUGACAGCGCCUUACGCGCCUGGAACGGCAACGCUGGCUCUCACACCACAUCGUGGAAUCCAUAAGCAUAACGCCAUGCUACACGCAUCAAAUACGAAUUUAAAAACUCUUCCUGAAUUCCUAACACUGGUCGAAUUUUCAACAACGACGAAUGCAUCUAGUGCGCAUCAACCGCAUAAACAAAAGUCUAUGGAGCUGCCCAGUGCUACGAUGCGACCUAAACCGAUAUCAUCAGCUUCUUCCACGAAUUUGCUACAGCGUCGCGGCUCCAAUCACAGUCUAACGCUGAAUCUACACGGUUCGUGCAGUAAUUUACUUGGUAAUUGUCGCAGCGGUUUAAGUGUCUCUAACUAUAGUCUUGGUCCCGCCGUUACUAAUUCCACAACAAACUUAAAUUCGAAAUCAAGUUGCAAUAUAGAUUUAAGUGGUGCGCCCAUUAUAACACAGCCACAUGCUCAUGCUACUCCAACACAAGGUGCCAAACAGAGCCUUUUCCGACGACGCGGUUCUAAUCAAAGUCUUACGCUAACAAGUCUAACAGCAGCCUCAUGCGGAAAUCUCAAUUCCUACGCCAGCCAACAUUCGCUGAACAAGGUUACACGCACUUCUUCAUUUAUCACACAAACUCAGAACACCACGAGUAAUGCUACGACUAAGCGUGGGCUUUUGGAAAGACGUGGCUCCAAUCAGAGCCUCACACUGAAUAUGGGCAGUUCAUUUGGCGGAAUCGGCACCGAAAGGCAAGUGCACGCCAGCAGUAGUCUCUUUUUGGGUGACACUUGUGUCGAAGAAUCCGAUAUGAGUGCAUUGCAUUCGAAGCCAUCCUGCUGUGCACCACCCACACCGCAUAGGCGAUUUUUCAGUAGCGAAAGUCUGAAUCGUGGCUCCACACCUUUUGCAGAUUUGAAUCAAGCUCACCGACGAAACGCUAAGCAAGUUUGCUUUGGUUCCGUAUCAGAUCUUAAGCCAAGCGCCAGUAUGUUGUUGGAUUGUGCCGUUAACGGUGGAGGUGGUGCAGGCACUGGCAGUCAGCAACAGUUGGGCGAAGUGCGCCGUGAUAGCUUCAAUUUUCAGGAUAGCACCGUGUGUUCAUGCACUGGUGUACGAAAUAUUAUGACGCGCCCAUUGUCUCCGCAGAGUACAAGUGAAGAGUUCAAAAUCUACUUAGCCAAUAUACAGAUGCUACAGAAUGCUUCCAAUGCCCUUAAUCAGCUUGAUUUAAUUAAACUGAAUUACAUUUUCGACAACACCUAUGCGUCGCAUAACAAAGGAUUAGCGGAACAAGCAGUACCAAUGUUAAGUGUGCGUGCUAAUAAAGAGGCCGAAACACCGCCGGGCACCAGAGUUACUACUUCCGAAGACUGCGAAGUAGCUGAACGCUAUUUGGCAGCAGUGCAAUCGGUGCUCACAACGGUACAACCAGACGAUGAUGAGCAAAAGCGAAUCUUCUGCGAUUUGCAUAAAGAAUUUUGGGAUCUUCCGUUGAAUCACCAAGAGAAACCGAUGGUAUUCGGCUCACAGGCCAAGAAUCGUUACAAAACGAUUUUACCAAAUGAAAACUCGCGCGUGUUGCUGGAAAAAGAGGGGAAACAGCUGGCUGAAUUGGCCGAAGAUAUUCGAGAAGAACAUGCAGACUUAGCCGAGCACAUAUCACGGCAACUACACAUAUCCGACGAAGUUCCCUAUAUCAACGCAAAUUACAUAAAGGGUCCGGACUAUACAUCGAAAUGUUAUAUGGCCACUCAGGGGCCCUUGCCGAACACGAUAUUCGAAUUCUGGCUAAUGGUAUACCAGAAUACUCGUCGAUAUUUUCAAACCACCGACAAUAAGGCGGGUACGAUACAAUACUAUCAAAAAGUCAUAAUGCUCACGAAUUUCGCGGAAAACAAUCGACAAAAAUGUGCCGUUUAUUUUCCCAUCGAACUGAACGAAAUAUUCAUAACGACCAGUUGGCACGAGGUCGUUACACCCACUGCGGCGGCAGCGGAUUUUUUUAACGCAUAUUUGCUGCCAAACGAAAGCACUCCACCUCCGCUAAACUUGGCUGAUGGCGGUACAGAGCCUGAACCUCACAUCGGCAUCGAAUACUAUCAGGCCGAAGUUAGCGAGGAACUGCAACCCUUUCUACCAUCGACGCGUGGCAAUUACUUCGUUAUCAAGAACAUUGGGAUCGUGCGUAAGAACGGUUUCUCGAUACGUAAGCUGGUCAUUUUGUAUUGCAUCAACAUCGGCGCUAAUACUAAGGAGUCUAGUGCUGGCAACCGCAACACAAUCUUGCUAAUCAACCGUUUGUACUGUUAUCAUUAUUGGUAUCCCGAUUGGCCUGACCACCGCUCGCCACGCGACAUCAAUACAUUGCUCGACAUUUGUUUGCACAUACUUAACCUCGGCAAAUGCGAGUCGGAAUUUGAUUCCUUCGAAAUAGACGACGACGACGUUAUUUCGGUCCUACAACCACAAACAACGCAUGCUUCGCAUAUUGCAGCGCAACCGGUAGAUUUGUAUCAACAGGAUAUAUUCAAUGCCAUGCAGCCACUGCCAGUUAUACAUUGCUCCGCAGGCAUCGGACGCACUGGCUGUCUGACAGCCAUACUAAAUGCUGUUCGACAGCUACGACAAUCAUUCGCCUAUUCGCUAACCACAAUGGCCGCAGAGGUUCGCAAAAAGCAGGAAAGCAGCGCUGGCGCUGGCGGUGAAUUAGCCGCACAAACGCUACUCAGCCCUGCAGACUUUGCAUUACCUAGCCGGUUCGUAGAAGAAGCGCAGCGCGCUAUUACAACGCCGAACGGGGUAAUCGACACGGAGAGCAGUUUCACACGUAAUACGCUCUACUACAUCAAUUACAUACUGCGACAUAGACAGCAGCAACAAAGUGACGAUGAUGAGCAUAAGGAUAACCACGAAUUAGAUGGAGUAACAGCUGAAGCGGAGUCGUUGCCUUGGCCAUUGCCAACUAUAAAUGAUCUGCCAAAAAUUCCUGACAUUUUUGUCGAUGUGUUGGGCAUUGUCUGCAAUCUGCGUCUCCAACGCGGUGGCAUGGUACAAAAUUCGGAGCAGUACGAAUUAAUCCAUCGAGCUGUAUGUCUAUAUUUGAAGCGUACAUUUGCGUUGAAGCGUUUCUAAGCUCAAAAUCGUAAGAUAAUUAAAAAUAAUAAUAUUUAGCAAUAUCUUUGCAGUAAUUAGCUCAAAAGCGUAUCGAAUAGCAUGCUAAAGCUGUUGACUGUUAGCAAAUGCAUUUGUAUGUAACAUAAUUAUAAUUAUUAGUUUUGAUACCCGAGCACAGCUCCGUUGAAGAUGGAGUAUUUUAUAGCUUUUCGAUUUACGAUACUAUUUAUUAUUAUUUUUCUAUAAGACUACAUAUAAGCGCAUUAAUUUAAAUACGUUUUUAGUUCGUUGAUUUAAUCAAAUGAAUUAGUUCAAAGCCAGUUAGAUUUAUAUUGUCAGAUGAGAAGCGAAAAACCUGCAAAAGCAAUCUCAAUAAAUCGAAAGUCUUUUCUAAAUCGACUUGUAAACACUUUUCUGAAUCGGGAAGGAUCCAAUAUUAAAAUAUUACGUUUUGAAUAUUAUGCCCAAAUUGGGUUAUGCAGUCAUUUAAGUAAAUAAUACGUGUUUACCUUGAAAUGUAAACAAGCAUGCUUGAACAGCUGUGUCCAAACACCAAAAACAGAUUUGAAAAUCAAAAAAGUUUAUAAAUCCGUUUAUAUAAUAUUAGAAAUUGCGAGUAAUUUAAGCAUAUUUUAAAAAAUCGAUAUCAUCAAAAAACGCAUUUUAGAAACACGGCAAUUCUACCACAUUUUUUCAAAUAAGUUUUGUUUGCCUUUACGCAAAUGUACGUGAAUAUGAGCACGAUCCUUGAUGGCGCAUUGGAAUGUCUAAAAUAAAAGCGUGGCGUAAUAAGCCUAACAACAAAAACUGAAAAUUUAACACGAAAAUUUCAAAUAUUAUUAAAUGUAAUUGUUGUUAGUAUAAAUGUAUGUAUGUAUGAAUUGUACGCAUAGUAGAUAAAUGAAACUCGAAAUUAGUGAAUAAUAUUUUUUGCAACUUUCAAUUUGCAUAUGUAUGUAUAUAUGUAUUUGUGUAUGUGUAUGUUGUAAAAUAUAGGUUUUUGUACGCGUUUGGUUUAUACGCUU